CGCGUAGGCGGUUCGAUAAGUCGGAGGUGAAAUCCCUCGGCUCAACCGAGGACCCGCAGCCGAUACUGUCGAACUUGAGUGCAGGAGAGGAGAGCGGAAUUCCCAGUGUAGCGGUGAAAUGCGUAGAUAUUGGGAGGAACACCGGUGGCGAAGGCGGCUCUCUGGACUGUCACUGACGCUGAGGCGCGAAAGCUAGGGGAGCAAACGG
rnacentral:rRNA from 1 species